rnacentral:piRNA from 1 species
UGCUAGGUGUGGAUGGUGAAAUAAUCCAAG